GAUGAAGAACGUAGUGAAAUGCGAUAAGUAAUGUGAAUUGCAGAAUUCAGUGAAUCAUCGAAUCUUUGAACGCACCUUGCACCCUUUGGCUAUUCCGAAGGGUAUGCCUGUUUGAGUAUCAUGAACACCUCAACUCUCAUGGUUUGCCAUGAUGAGCUUGGACUUUGGGGGUCUUGCUGGCCUGUGGUCAGCUCCUCUCAAAUGGAUUAGCUUGCCAGUGUUUGGUGGCAUCACAGGUGUGAUAACUAUCUACGCUUGUGGUUUUCCACCAGGUAACCUUCAGCAAUGGGGGUUCGCUGGGGCUCAUAAAUGUCUCUCCUCAGUGAGGACAGCUCUUUGAACGUUUGAUCUCAAAUCAGGUAGGACUACCCGCUGAACUUAAGCAUAUCAAUAAGCGGAGGA
rnacentral:misc_RNA from 1 species